AUCGCUUCUCAGCCUUUUGGCUAAGAUCAAGUGUAGCAUCUGUUCUUAUUAGUUUAAUAUCUGCUAUGUCCUCGAUGAGAGGACUUUAUAUUAAACGGAUUUUUGGGGCCAGGAGUUGGACCUGGAGCUUACUCCCUCCGCUCCGUGCAUCAUCCUGUGUACCUGAA
rnacentral:snRNA from 1 species